rnacentral:rRNA from 1 species
CAGCCGUAAACUAUGCGCGUUAGGUGUAUCGGUGACCACGAGUUACCGAGGCGCCGAAGGGAAACCGUGAAACGUGCCGCCUGGGAAGUACGGUCGCAAGGCUGAAACUUAAAGGAAUUGGCGGGGGAGCACCACAACAGGUGGAGCCUGCGGUUUAAUUUGGACUCAACGCCGGGAAGCUCACCGGAUAGGACAGCAGAAUGAUUGCCGGGCUGAAGACCCUGCAUGACUAGCUGAGAGGAGGGUGCAUGGCGUAGACGUCCU